GCAGGGUGAAGUGGUAUGUACCUGUAGCCCCAAGUACUGAGGAGGCUGAGGAAGGAGGAUUGCUUGAACCCAGGAGUUCAGAGUCAGCCUGGGCAACAUAGACAAAACCUAGUCUUUU
rnacentral:sRNA from 1 species